AUUGAACGCUGGCGGCAGGCUUAACACAUGCAAGUCGAGCGGAAACGGAGGUAGCUUGCUACCAGACGUCGAGCGGCGAACGGGUGAGUAACGCGUAGGAAUCUACCUAGUAGAGGGGGAUAGCCCGGGGAAACUCGGAUUAAUACCGCAUACGCCCUAAGGGGGAAAGCAGGGGAUCUUCGGACCUUGCGCUAUUAGAUGAGCCUGCGUCGGAUUAGCUAGUUGGUAAGGUAAAGGCUUACCAAGGCGACGAUCCGUAGCUGGUCUGAGAGGAUGAUCAGCCACACUGGAACUGAGACACGGUCCAGACUCCUACGGGAGGCAGCAGUGGGGAAUAUUGGACAAUGGGGGCAACCCUGAUCCAGCCAUGCCGCGUGAGUGAUGAAGGCCUUAGGGUUGUAAAGCUCUUUUACCAGGGAUGAUAAUGACAGUACCUGGAGAAUAAGCUCCGGCUAACUCCGUGCCAGCAGCCGCGGU
rnacentral:rRNA from 1 species